rnacentral:rRNA from 1 species
UUGAAGAGUUUGAUCAUGGCUCAGAUUGAACGCUGGCGGCAGGCCUAACACAUGCAAGUCGAGCGGUAGCACAGAGAGCUUGCUCUCGGGUGACGAGCGGCGGACGGGUGAGUAAUGUCUGGGAAACUGCCUGAUGGAGGGGGAUAACUACUGGAAACGGUAGCUAAUACCGCAUAAYGUCGCAAGACCAAAGUGGGGGACCUUCGGGCCUCAUGCCAUCAGAUGUGCCCAGAUGGGAUUAGCUAGUAGGUGGGGUAAYGGCUCACCUAGGCGACGAUCCCUAGCUGGUCUGAGAGGAUGACCAGCCACACUGGAACUGAGACACGGUCCAGACUCCUACGGGAGGCAGCAGUGGGGAAUAUUGCACAAUGGGCGCAAGCCUGAUGCAGCCAUGCCGCGUGUGUGAAGAAGGCCUUCGGGUUGUAAAGCACUUUCAGCGGGGAGGAAGGCGWURAGGUUAAUAACCUYRKCGAUUGACGUUACCCGCAGAAGAAGCACCGGCUAACUCCGUGCCAGCAGCCGCGGUAAUACGGAGGGUGCAAGCGUUAAUCGGAAUUACUGGGCGUAAAGCGCACGCAGGCGGUCUGUCAAGUCGGAUGUGAAAUCCCCGGGCUCAACCUGGGAACUGCAUUCGAAACUGGCAGGCUAGAGUCUUGUAGAGGGGGGUAGAAUUCCAGGUGUAGCGGUGAAAUGCGUAGAGAUCUGGAGGAAUACCGGUGGCGAAGGCGGCCCCCUGGACAAAGACUGACGCUCAGGUGCGAAAGCGUGGGGAGCAAACAGGAUUAGAUACCCUGGUAGUCCACGCCGUAAACGAUGUCGAUUUGGAGGUUGUGCCCUUGAGGCGUGGCUUCCGGAGCUAACGCGUUAAAUCGACCGCCUGGGGAGUACGGCCGCAAGGUUAAAACUCAAAUGAAUUGACGGGGGCCCGCACAAGCGGUGGAGCAUGUGGUUUAAUUCGAUGCAACGCGAAGAACCUUACCUGGUCUUGACAUCCACAGAACUUUCCAGAGAUGGAUUGGUGCCUUCGGGAACUGUGAGACAGGUGCUGCAUGGCUGUCGUCAGCUCGUGUUGUGAAAUGUUGGGUUAAGUCCCGCAACGAGCGCAACCCUUAUCCUUUGUUGCCAGCGGUUA